rnacentral:lncRNA from 1 species
GGAGAUGGGAGCGCCUAGGGACCCGAACCGAGUGCACCUGCUGCAGCCUGGCACUAGGGAUUUGAAAAUCCAUGGAGAUGGAAACCUAUGCCGAGGUUAGAAGACCUGGAUCCACUUUGCAGGAUUUUAAAUAUCCUUCAAGCCUCAGUGCCUGGCAGACUGGACUUUGGACUUCGGACUUCCAGCUCCGAUGCUGAAAAAGGAGGGUUUUUUUGUUUGUUUGUUUUUCCACUUUGCUUCCUUGCUUGUCGAGGCUGAGAACAUACGGUGUUUUUGAGGGCCACCAUCAAAGGGUACUCGCUUCUCCAAACCUUGGAACCCGAGGUCUAGCCUUGGAAAGAGUUGCCGCCUUACCAUCUCUCCUCGCCUAGGGAAGCCCCAGCUGUGUGCGCUACUGCAGGGUCACAGUGCCGCGGUGCCGAGCUUCUUUCGUGGUCCCUGUCGCCGUCCGUUUCUUGAGAUUUCAGACUCUGGGCUUGGAAACCAGUUGACUGCCUUUCUUAGCGAGGUGCCCUCGGAAACCUGUGGAGGAAUGUUUGGAUUAUGAAUGCUCACCGUGCCGAGGAGAGCAAAUGCCCUGGACAGAAGUGCAGUCAGCAGCUGGAAACAACUGGAGCCCAUGUAGCUUGGCCAACAGCAGGAUGGGAGAGCUGCCUCAUGCUUGGAAUCAGUGUUGGGAAAGCCACCCGUGGCUCCUUGAGGUUCUUUCCUGAUGUCUGCUGAGGAGACAAGCCAGUCUGGGACCCCAUGUCUCACUGUGAUCAGCAAGACUCUGGGACCUGGGCUGGUGAGAUGGCUCAGUGGGUAAGAGCACCCGACUGCUCUUCCGAAGGUCCGGAGUUCAAAUCCCAGCAACCACAUGGUGGCUCACAACCACCCAUAAUGAGAUCUGAUGCCCUCUUCUGGUGCAUCUGAAGAUAGCUACAGUGUACUUACAUAUAAUAAAUAAAUAAAUAAAUCUUAAAAAAAAAAAAAAAA